UGCUAUGUAAUUUAGGCUGUACUUGAACUCACUGUGUAACCUAGGUUGGCCUGGAACUCAUGGCAAUACUCCUGCCUCAGCUUCCUCAGUGCUGGGAUUACAUAUGCACUGCCACACCCAGCCUUCGUUGUUUCAGUAUGUCUUCCUUUGAAACUGUUUAGACUAAAAGCUUCCAGACGAUGCACAUCACCAACUCUGUGACAGUGGCCUUAAAUAAGUGUUCAUGCAUAAACGAACUGAACUGUCAAGACUGAAGUGUGGAUAUGAUCCCGUUGCUGUGGCCACUCAGUGCCAGCCUGCCAUUCUGGAAACUCAGAAAGCUUGUUAUCUGGGGUACCCUUGUACAUCCUGCUUUUUUGGUUAGACAUUCACAGCUCUGAGGUUUUGGAGGGAGGUAGUCGGGAUGUUACUACCCUAGCUGGCUGCCACCUGCCGGCCUGUCUUCACUAUCCCCCUAGUAGCCUUCAGGAUUCAUCAAGUGCAGGUGGUCCGCAGUCCCCAUCUGAGAGAGGCUUAUUUUUCUCUUCUGUUUCAUAUCUUGAAAGUUUCCACAUUAUAAUAGUAGCAAGCAUUUAGGGAGAGCUUUCUGUGUGGUAGGCAGUGCUCCUAGAUUUUCCAUUGUAUGUUUUGACUCAUUUAAUUCUCACAGCAGUCCUAUGAGGCAGGCAUCUCCAUUUUCAGAUGAGGAGACUGAGGUCUGGGUGGAAAUGAAGCAGUCACCCUUAGACACUGAGUAGAUGAUGGGAAGCCCGGAUCUGGUGGCUGCAGAGCGUGUUCCUUCACUGAGAUUCCAUUGAAAACCUUCCUGCUUCCACAAAAGGAAAUGAAAAUUCGGGAACUGAAGUACCUCUUCCCAGGAAUAUGUAUUUCCACAGUCUGUGUCUGGUGUCCUUUCUUGAAGACAGCUGUUCCAGAGCUUCUGAGGCUAGUUUUGUUUGCCAGUGGACACUUCAUGAGCUACUUAAAGAACGAGCAUUACAGAUUUUUUACUAGAUCUAGGAAGGGAAAUGUAGG
rnacentral:lncRNA from 1 species